rnacentral:tRNA from 1 species
CGGCUCGGUCGCGCGGAUGCCCGCCUCCCUACCGUGGAGGCAUGAGCACGAACCCCAAGGGUGCCGCCUCGCGAGCCCGC